CUGAAAGACUGAAAAAUACUUUUUGAUUUAUUGUUCAGUCUUACAAGAUCAGUUCAGAUAAAAAUGACUAUUUCAGAUCGAAAUUGGUUUAAGGAGCUAUCAUUUGAUUUGGGGGGAGGGGCAGCUUGGCAAAAAGCAAGGCAGGAUGACGAUUUAUGUAAAAAAAGUCAGGAUAAACAAAGAAAAAAAGGCAGUACCGAAAAGAGUGGAAAAUUAUAAGGCAGGACAGAGAUUACAACUUUAAAAAAUCGAGACAAAAUUUUU
rnacentral:lncRNA from 1 species